rnacentral:lncRNA from 1 species
GCUUGAGUUGGGAAACCAGUUCUCCCACUUCAUUAAUAAUGAUGUCGAUGUUCCUGGCAGUGUUUAUACCAAAUGCUACUUUGACCUUUGCGCCUUGGCACACGACAGUAGCCUAUAUUUGCCAUUUUGUCUUCUUGACAUAGAAAGAGCAUGGGAACUGAAGGUUGUUUCAAGGUUGGAAGACAAAGACUUCUAUGGUACUGCCAACAAAAGGAAAAGGUCUUUGAGUUCUGAUGAUUUAAUUGAUCUUCAGUGCCUUAAGGCCAUCCUCUCCUGAAGGAAGAAGUGAGGGGUUAUAUAACAUCUGAACCCCUCAUCAAAAAAGACAGGAAAAUAUCACCUUUCCUGCUGAAGAACUAGAAAAGUACUUUCAAAAGAAGAAACACCUACAAUUCAAGUUAACUCAAGGACAACUAGGAUUGCACUUCAUAGAAAAGAAUGGGACCUUGUCAAUGCAACAACACACUCUUACACUCUUCUGUCCCUUUUAAUGUAAAGAGAGUUAUAAAAACCACUCCAAAGUGAAGGCUCCUAUGUGAGCUGAUAGCAGUGAACUAUGUAAGGGUUUAAAACAAUGGUUUAAAUUUUUAGAUUUUAAAGAUAACUUUUCUGUUUCUUUUAUAUUUUUCUUUCCCCCAAUAUUGCUGCAUAUGCAUUUAGCAUCAUAUUACCAUUAAAACAUAGGACUCUUAACAACUCAUAAAGCCACUAGGAGCAGAUGCAGCAUUGUCAGGUACUGAAGGGGCUCUUCCUUCCUACUCUUAGAAUCGAAGCUACUAGUUACUGGCAAUCAUUUUAAGCAAAAGCUUCUGGAUAACAUUUGCCAUUCAUAUCCUCUGUAAGCACUUCUUAUUAGCAGUUAGCAUGUUUGGGGUCAUAAAAAGAGAAAAUAUUGGUUAUUGAUUAUCUACUUUUAUUAGGGUCUGUGGUGUAUUUCUUGUGAACUAUAAUGGUUCUCAUUUGCUGAUAAAUUUUCUUAUUUUUUAAAUAAAGGUAUUAAAAGAUGUUUUCAUAGUGCCAAGCAACAUGGUGAUCCAGUGGUAAUAAAAAAUGAUAAAACAUGAGGUGUCCUGAAAGUUUCAGGACAGUUUUUAGCUUUAACAUAGUAUGCUUGUGCCCUCCAGAGCACUGAAGCAUACAUAUGCAGGCUAUAAACCUUUACAAAAUAUAAUUUGAAAUUUUAAUUGUAUUUCUUCUUUUUUUUUUUAAAUAGAUGUUGUCUCAGUAUGUUACCCAAUGUACAGUGCAAUGAUUAUUCAGAGGCACAGUCAUAGCAUACCACAGCCUGGAAAUCCUGGCCUCAAGCAAUCCUCCCAUGUCAGCCUACCAAGCAGCUGGGACUAUAGGUGUGUACCACCACCUCUGGCUUCAUUUUGCAGAAUUUGAAUAUUAAGCAUUUAACUUUUUGUCUCAUCAAUAUCUGCUAUCGUCAAGAAGGACUGAAACAAAAAAUUAAAGGUUAAUAUUCAGGAGCUAGGCAUGCCUGUAGUCCCAGCUACUCAUAAGGCUUAAAUGGCAGGAUCACUUGAGGCCUAGCAUUGGAGGCUGCAGUGCGCUGUGAUUGUGCCUGGAAAUAGCCAUUGCACUCCAGCCUUGGCAACAUACUGAGACCCUGUCACUCUAAAAAAUGGCAAAACUAAAUAAAGGUAAAAGAAAUAUAACAAACCUUUCAGUGAUGCUUUGUAAAUAUUUGUAGCAUUGAUACUUCUACAAGUAUCAAAGCUUAAAAUUACACUAAGCCUUUUGGAAUUGUUGUAUUUUUAUAAAGUGCCCUUUUCUCUUUUGAAGUAGUUCUUUGCAGGGCUUUCAUCUGCAUUGAUCACCCAAAAUUAUUUUCUCUAGAUGUGAUACAGAAUAGGAUCAGUUUUAAUGCACAUGUAACAAAUUUGAAGGAACUGGACCUUAAUAGUAGUAGAUGAUCUAAUACAUUUUAUUAUCCCGCAUGUUAACCUGGAGGCAGGUAUCAUAUUUUAUGUCCAUAAACCUUAGGAACCUUACCUCCUAAAAAAAUUAUCAUUUAUGGAGUGCAGAGCUUAGAGAUUGAAGUAUUGACUGCAGUUUUAUUUUCAAAAGGUAAAUGCUACAAUUUAUGUGGUUUUUAUUUCUCAUGUUUACAUUAAAAGAAAACCUAAUAAACU